rnacentral:tRNA from 1 species
GGAGAUUUGGCUCAGUGGUAGAGUGCUUGCCUAGCAAGCGCAAGGCCCUGGGUUCGGUCCCCAGCUCCG